AGUGAACGCUGGCGGUAGGCCUAACACAUGCAAGUCGAACGGCAGCACAGGAGAGCUUGCUCUCUGGGUGGCGAGUGGCGGACGGGUGAGGAAUACAUCGGAAUCUACUUUUUCGUGGGGGAUAACGUAGGGAAACUUACGCUAAUACCGCAUACGACCUACGGGUGAAAGCAGGGGACCUUCGGGCCUUGCGCGAUUGAAUGAGCCGAUGUCGGAUGAGCUAGUUGGCGGGGUAAAGGCCCACCAAGGCGACGAUCCGUAGCUGGUCUGAGAGGAUGAUCGGCCAAACUGGAACUGCGACACGGGCCAGACUCCUACGGGAGGCAGCAGUGGGGAAUAUUGGACAAUGGGCGCAAGCCUGAUCCAGCCAUACCGCGUGGGUGAAGAAGGCCUUCGGGUUGUAAAGCCCUUUUGUUGGGAAAGAAAUCCAGCUGGCUAAUACCCGGUUGGGAUGACGGUACCCAAAGAAUAAGCACCGGCUAACUUCGUGCCAGCAGCCGCGGUAA
rnacentral:rRNA from 1 species